rnacentral:rRNA from 1 species
CUCGUAGGCGGUUUGUCGCGUCGGGAGUGAAAUCAUCUGGCUUAACUGGGUGCUUGCUUUCGAUACGGACAGACUAGAGGUAUGCAGGGGAGAACGGAAUUCCUGGUGUAGCGGUGAAAUGCGCAGAUAUCAGGAGGAACACCGGUGGCGAAGGCGGUUCUCUGGGCAUGAUCUGACGCUGAGGAGCGAAAGUGUGGGGAGCGAAC